UACGUAGGGUGCAAGCGUUGUCCGGAAUUAUUGGGCGUAAAGAGCUCGUAGGCGGUUUGUUGCGUCGGCUGUGAAAUCCCGAGGCUCAACCUCGGGUCUGCAGUCGAUACGAGCAAACUAGAGUGUUGCAGGGGAGACUGGAAUUCCUGGUGUAGCGGUGAAAUGCGUAGAUAUCUGGAGGAACACCGGUGGCGAAGGCGGCAUCCUGGACCGGCAUUGACGCUGAGGCGCGAAAGCCAGGGGAGCAAACGGG
rnacentral:rRNA from 1 species